GGUAAUGUCAUGCCAGCAGCGGUGUUAAUACGGGGGGUGGAAGCGUUAAGCGGAAUUAAUGGGCGUAAAGGGUGGGUAGGUGGUUUAUUAAGUCUGAUGUGAAAGCCCUGGGCUCAACCUAGGAAUUGCAUUGGAUACUGGCAGGCUAGAGUGCGGUAGAGGGUAGUAGAAUUCCCGGUGUAGCAGUGAAAUGCGUAGAGAUCGGGAGGAACAUCCGUGGCGAAGGCGACUACCUGGACCAGCACUGACACUGAGGCACGAAAGCGUGGGGAGCAAACAGGAUUAGAUACCCUUGUAGUC
rnacentral:rRNA from 1 species